GUUCGUUUUUCCGAUUGUUUUUUGGUUGCAUUUUAUUUAUCUGUGUGUGUCCUUUGUGUUUUGUGUUUGUGAGCGUCAAAUUUUCCGGUAGCCAACAAAAUAUUGAAGGAAACGGUUUUAGUUAAUGCCUUUUAGAUACCCAUGUGCAAUCACUACACGACGCUGGCAGAAAUUGUUGUAAAGAACAGCAGAUUGCCAUAAAA